rnacentral:misc_RNA from 1 species
ACGAGUGGAAUGAGAAAACUUCUUAGGCUUCUUGUUGGCUGCCUGAUCAGAAGCUUCAGCAGUCUUUUUACUCUUCCUAACUCGUUUUCCUUCCUUAGUAACUGUUUUCUUGGACUUCUUCUGUACCUUUUUCCCUUGUGAGUCAUUUUCCACCAAAAACUCCUCAUCAUUCCCAAUUGUAACAGAAUCAUUAGGAUGUUCAGGCACAUAUUCCCCAUCACCAAUUACGUCUUCAUCAGACUCAUCUACUAGUCUAGAUGCAUUCACGGACUUUCUUCUACUCCUUAAUAAUCUACUCUCUCCGUUCUCUUCACUAAUUGCAGAAAGUUCAGAUGCAGGGAAUUUUUG